UACGUAGGGGGCUAGCGUUGUCCGGAAUCAUUGGGCGUAAAGGGUGCGUAGGUGGCGGGGUAAGUCAGGUGUGAAAUCUCGGGGCUCAACCCCGAAACUGCACUUGAUACUGCCUUGCUCGAGUACUGGAGAGGAGAUUGGAAUUUACGGUGUAGCAGUGAAAUGCGUAGAUAUCGUAAGGAAGACCAGUGGCGAAGGCGAAUCUCUGGACAGUUACUGACACUGAGGCACGAAGGCCAGGGGAGCAAACGGG
rnacentral:rRNA from 1 species